UGCUUCGUGGUCGAGUAGUAAGGAUACUUGCCUCUCAUCCUGGAGUCCCGAGUUAGAUCCCCGGUGGAGGAG